AGCUUUGUCCAGUGUCAGUAUCAUAGCCAGUGAGGUUUAUCCAAAGAAUGAUUAUUGCUAAUAGAUAGCUAGAGCUUUAGGCGAGUAUCAAGGCAUCCAUACGUCUGGGAAUGAUUAUAAUAUC
ensembl:snRNA Gm25366 predicted gene, 25366